rnacentral:rRNA from 1 species
UACGGAGGGUGCAAGCGUUAUCCGGAUUUACUGGGUUUAAAGGGUGCGCAGGCGGAUAUGUAAGUCAGUGGUGAAAUCUCCGGGCUUAACCCGGAACUGCCGUUGAUACUAUAUAUCUUGAAUGCUGUGGAGGUAAGCAGAAUAUGUCAUGUAGCGGUGAAAUGCUUAGAGAUGACAUAGAAUACCUAUUGCGAAGGCAGCUUACUACACAGAUAUUGACGCUCAUGCACGAAAGCGUGGGGAUCAAACAGG